rnacentral:rRNA from 1 species
GACGAACGCUGGCGGCGUGCCUAACACAUGCAAGUCGAACGGUCAAUCAGAGGAAGUGUUUUCGGAUAUGGAAUCUGAUAUGAUAGUGGCGGACGGGUGAGUAACGCGUGGGUGAUCUGCCCAUAAGAGUGGAAUAACAGUUGGAAACGACUGCUAAUACCGCAUAAGCUAUACGAUUCAUUUGGUAUAGUAAAGAUGGCCUCUGAUUCAAGCUGUCGCUUAUGGAUGAGCCCGCGUCUGAUUAGCUAGUUGGUGGGGUAAAGGCCUACCAAGGCGACGAUCAGUAGCCGGCCUGAGAGGGUGAACGGCCACACUGGGACUGAGACACGGCCCAGACUCCUACGGGAGGCAGCAGUGGGGAAUAUUGCGCAAUGGGGGAAACCCUGACGCAGCGACGCCGCGUGAGCGAAGAAGGCCUUCGGGUCGUAAAGCUCUGUUUUAGGGGACGAGAGCGAUCAUGAGUAAUAUGCGUGGUCGAGGACGGUACCCUAAGAGGAAGCCCCGGCUAACUACGUGCCAGCAGCCGCCGUAACAC